UCUCCAGACUCCUACGGGAGGCAGCAGUGGGGAAUAUUGCACAAUGGGGGAAACCCUGAUGCAGCGACGCCGCGUGAGUGAAGAAGUAAUUCGUUCUGUAAAGCUCUAUCAGCAGGGAAGAAAAUGACGGUACCUGGGUAAGAAGCCCCGGCUAACUACGUGCCAGCAGCCGCGGUAAUACGUAGGGGGCAAGCGUUAUCCGGAUUUACUGGGUGUAAAGGGAGCGUAGACGGCGAUGCAAGCCAGAUGUGAAAGCCCGGGGCUCAACCCCGGGACUGCAUUUGGAACUGUGUGGCUGGAGUGUCGGAGAGGCAGGCGGAAUUCCUAGUGUAGCGGUGAAAUGCGUAGAUAUUAGGAGGAACACCAGUGGCGAAGGCGGCUUGCUGGACGAAAACUGACGUUGAGGCUCGAAAGCGUGGGGAGCAAACAGGAUUAGAUACCCUCGUAA
rnacentral:rRNA from 1 species